rnacentral:lncRNA from 10 species
CACCACGCCCAGCCUAGGUCCCUGUUUUUCAGCAGGGAACACAGAGUCCCAGAGAGCACAGGUUUCCCCCACCCCACAGAGGGACUCUCUUCGCUGCCUCCGUCACCUCCAAAAGCACAAAACUUAACUUCACUUCGAUUAACCAAAAACCAAACUCACAGACAUAAAAGUGGAGGGUUGGCCCGGUGCAGUGGCUAAUGCCUG